rnacentral:rRNA from 1 species
UGGGGAAUAUUGCACAAUGGGCGCAAGCCUGAUGCAGCCAUGCCGCGUGUGUGAAGAAGGCCUUCGGGUUGUAAAGCACUUUCAGCGGGGAGGAAGGCGUUAAGGUUAAUACCUUUGCUCAUUGACGUUACCCGCAGAAGAAGCACCGGCUAACUCCGUGCCAGCAGCCGCGGUAAUACGGAGGGUGCAAGCGUUAAUCGGAAUUACUGGGCGUAAAGCGCACGCAGGCGGUUUGUUAAGUCAGAUGUGAAAUCCUCGGGCUCAACCUGGGAACUGCAUCUGAUACUGGCAAGCUUGAGUCUCGUAGAGGGGGGUAGAAUUCCAGGUGUAGCGGUGAAAUGCGUAGAGAUCUGGAGGAAUACCGGUGGCGAAGGCGGCCCCCUGGACGAAGACUGACGCUCAGGUGCGAAAGCGUGGGGAGCAAACAGG